rnacentral:rRNA from 1 species
UGGGGAAUAUUGGACAAUGGGGGAAACCCUGAUCCAGCAAUGCCGCGUGAGUGAAGAAGGCCUUAGGGUUGUAAAGCUCUCUCGCCCGCGAAGAUAAUGACGGUAGCGGGGGAAGAAGCCCCGGCUAACUCCGUGCCAGCAGCCGCGGUAAUACGGAGGGGGCUAGCGUUGUUCGGAAUUACUGGGCGUAAAGCGUACGUAGGCGGAUGCGCAAGUUGGGGGUGAAAUCCCGGGGCUUAACCUCGGAAUUGCCCUCAAAACUGCACGUCUUGAGACCGAGAGAGGUAAGGGGAAUUCCUAGUGUAGAGGUGAAAUUCGUAGAUAUUAGGAAGAACACCAGUGCGAAGGCGCCUUACUGGCUCGGUACUGACGCUGAGGUACGAAAGCGUGGGGAGCAAAC